AAGUCGUAACAAGGUUUCCGUAGGUGAACCUGCGGAAGGAUCAUUAACACGUUAAGUCUCGCAAGAGGCUUACGUAUUAUCUAUAAACGGUCACUCAUGCCUGUCGUGGCUGUAAGGCGUUAAGUUUGCUAUGCGAUGGAUAGCUAUUCGCGAUAGCUAUCGUGAACUUAACUACGUACCCCGAGUGCAGCCUUACAGUUAUGACAGCGAAAAGGGCUGGUUUCCUACUGUCAACUACCAUCGAGGCUUGAUGUAUACGAUUCCAGCUCUAUCUAUUACCCAUCCAAAUGUUCUAUUCUGAUUUAAUCUUACUAGCACUAGAGUUCGUUCUCUGGGCAACCAGAAAACUUGAGCCAGUGGUAGUGGGUUAUAAUCAAACAAAACCUUACACAACUCAUAGCAAUGGAUGUCUUGGUUCCCAU
rnacentral:misc_RNA from 1 species